GAAAAAGAAACCAACACAGCACACAGCUUGUCCAAGAGAAGGAGCUGACUGCUGGCUUUGCAGGCACUAUUUUUACGCCCAAAGGGUAUUUCCAAGCUCCCAAGGCUUAGUAAUAGAACAGAUCCCAGGGAGAUGUUGGGGAAGGGCUCUGCUGAUGAAAAGAGGUUUCUUCCUGUUUGCUCCCUGCUGGUGGGACGUCUGCCAAGCACAGUCAAUGCUGAGGAACACCUGCAUCCAUCUAAUAACGUGGGCUGAGGAAAAAUCAUGAGAUAAUCGAUAGGAAACCAGCCAAAGCCGGGGCAGCACAGCUCCUCUGUGGGUCUCCCAGACCUGCAGCUGGACACGGCUCCUUGAGGUCGGGCACUCUGUACCAAGGGAGCACCUCCAUGCUUUGCCCACAGUCUCUCUGAUGUUGGCGGGGUGCAGAAAAUGACAUGCGAGGAGGAGCUGUGCCUUCCAUCUUCCUUGGCAAACUUUACAUCUCCUGAUUGUCUUCAACAAAUGUACAGUUUUCAUUUAUGAAAAGUUGG
ensembl:lncRNA